rfam:Porphyromonas sp. HMSC065F10 Porphyromonas_spHMPREF2890-1.0_Cont934.3, whole genome shotgun sequence.
GGCGCGGUAGCUCAGUGGUAGAGCAAUGGACUGAAAAUCCAUGUGUCCUUGGUUCAAUUCCAAGUCGCGCCA